rnacentral:rRNA from 1 species
AUUGAACGCUGGCGGCAUGCCUAACACAUGCAAGUCGAACGGUAACGGGGCGUCGGCUGCUGGCGUGUGGGGCAGGGGGGUGUGUAAUACCGAAACAUCUGCGUGCGUGGGGGGGAAAGCGGCCAAAGCUGGGCGCUUAUACCACACGCGCCAUGGAGGAGAGCGGGGGAGCGCAUGGGCUCGCGCGCUCGGAGCGGAGGAUGGGGGAUUAGGUAGUUGGUGGGAUAAAAGCUUACCAAGGCGACGAUCUGUAGCUGGUCUGAGAGGAUGAUCAGCCACACUGGAACUGAGACACGGCCCAGACUCCUACGGGAGGCAGCAGUGGGGAAUAUUGGACAAUGGGCGAAAGCCUGAUCCAGCCAUGCCGCGUGCGGGAAGAAGGCCUUCGGGUUGUAAAGCGCUUUUGUUCGGAACGAAAAGCAUUAUGUUAAUACAGGGGUGUCAUGACGGUACCGAAAGAAUAAGCACCGGCUAACUACGUG